UACGUAGGGUGCAAGCGUUACUCGGAAUUACUGGGCGUAAAGCGUGCGCAGGCGGUGAUGUAAGACAGGUGUGAAAUCCCCGGGCUUAACCUGGGAACUGCAUUUGUGACUGCAUCGCUGGAGUGCGGCAGAGGGGGAUGGAAUUCCGCGUGUAGCAGUGAGAUGCGUAGAUAUGCGGAGGAACACCGAUGGCGAAGGCAAUCCCCUGGGCCUGCACUGACGCUCAUGCACGAAAGCGUGGGGAGCAAACAGG
rnacentral:rRNA from 1 species